rnacentral:rRNA from 1 species
GACGAACGCUGGCGGCGUGCCUAGUACAUGCAAGUCGAGCGAGACUCUUCGGAGUCUAGCGGCGGACGGGUGAGUAACACGUGGGCAACCUGCCUGUAAGACUGGGAUAACACCGGGAAACCGGUGCUAAUACCGGAUAAUCCUUUUUCUCUCAUGAGGAAAAGCUGAAAGUCGGUUUCGGCUGACACUUACAGAUGGGCCCGCGGCGCAUUAGCUAGUUGGUGAGGUAACGGCUCACCAAGGCGACGAUGCGUAGCCGACCUGAGAGGGUGAUCGGCCACCCUGGGACUGAGACACGGCCCAGACUCCUACGGGAGGCAGCAGUAGGGAAUCUUCCACAAUGGACGAAAGUCUUAUGGAGCAACGCCGCGUGAGCGAUGAAGGCCUUCGGGUCGUAAAGCUCUGUUGUCAGGGAAGAACAAGUAUCGGAGUAACUGCCGGUACCUUGACGGUACCUGACCAGAAAGCCACGGCUAACUACGUGCCAGCCGCCGCCGAAACAC